GUAGUUAGCCGGUGCUUUCUUGUUGGGUACCGUCAUUAUCGUCCCCAACGACAGGAGUUUACAAUCCGAAAACCUUCUUCCUCCACGCGGCGUCGCUGCAUCAGGGUUUCCCCCAUUGUGCAAUAUUCCCCACUGCUGCCUCCCGUAGGAGUCUGGACCGUGUCUCAGUUCCAGUGUGGCCGAUCAGCCUCUCAGCUCGGCUACCCAUCGCGGACUUGGUGGGCCGUUACCCCGCCAACUAUCUAAUGGGACGCGAACCCCUCCUUCUGCGGAUUGCUCCUUUGACCUCAUCCCGAUGCCGGGUCGUGGUCUUAUGCGGUAUUAGCACUUGUUUCCAGGUGUUAUCCCCCUCAAAAGGUCAGGUUGUUCACGCGUUACUCACCCGUUCGCCACUCAGUUACCAACCGAAAUCGAUAACUCCGUUCGACUUGCAUGUGUUAGGCACGCCGCCAGCGUUCGUCCUGAGCCAGGAUCAAACUCUGA
rnacentral:rRNA from 1 species